ACUUCCCGCGCGACUUCCCGCUCAGAACAUGGCGGCGCUGAGUGGUGUCCGCUGGCUGACCCGAGUGGCGGUGGCCGCCCGGUACCCCGCGGCAUGGAGAAGUCUGAGUACCUCGGCCACGGCGCAGGCCGCUUCGCAGAGUCAGGUCCAAGACGUGACUGUGGAGGGUGCCUUUCCUGUGACCAUGCUGCCGGGAGACGGCGUGGGGCCGGAGCUUAUGCACGCAGUCAAGGAAGUGUUCAAGGCUGCCGCUGUCCCGGUGGAGUUCCAGGAGCACCACCUGAGCGAAGUGCAGAAUAUGGCUUCUGAGGAGAAGCUGGAGCAGGUGUUGAGUUCCAUGAAGGAGAACAAGGUUGCCAUCAUUGGAAAGAUCCAUACCCCAAUGGAGUAUAAGGGAGAGCUAGCCUCCUAUGAUAUGCGGCUGAGGCGUAAGUUGGAUUUGUUUGCCAAUGUAGUCCAUGUGAAAUCACUUCCUGGGUAUGUGACUCGGCAUAACAAUCUAGACCUGGUGAUCAUUCGAGAGCAGACAGAAGGGGAAUAUAGCUCUCUGGAACACGAGAGUGCAAGGGGCGUGAUUGAGUGCUUGAAGAUUGUCACUCGAACCAAAUCUCAGCGGAUUGCAAAGUUUGCCUUUGACUAUGCCACCAAGAAUGGGCGGAACAAGGUCACGGCUGUCCAUAAGGCCAACAUCAUGAAACUUGGGGAUGGAUUGUUUCUGCAGUGCUGUGAGGAUGUUGCUGAACUAUACCCCAAAAUCAAGUUUGAGACAAUGAUCAUAGACAACUGUUGCAUGCAGCUGGUGCAGAACCCUUACCAGUUUGACGUGCUUGUGAUGCCCAACCUCUACGGGAACAUUAUUGACAACCUAGCCGCUGGCCUGGUUGGGGGAGCUGGUGUGGUUCCUGGUGAGAGCUACAGUGCAGAGUAUGCGGUUUUUGAGAUGGGUGCCCGGCACCCAUUUGCCCAGGCAGUGGGCAGGAAUAUAGCUAAUCCCACGGCCAUGCUGUUGUCAGCUUCCAACAUGCUGCGGCAUCUCAAUCUCGAGUAUCAUGCCAACAUGAUUGCAGAUGCUGUAAAGAAGGUGAUCAAAGUUGGCAAGUCCCAUCUGCUGUUCCCUUUCUGCUCCAUCCAUUGCCUCUUUCUUGGGCCACCUGAAUGCAGAUCCUGCAGCCUUGGAGUGGCAGGGGAAGAGCAGGCAGGAUGAAGUGCUAGCUUCAUUUUCUUCAUGCCUGAGAGCCCUUUCCUCCCACCUGGUCUGUCUCAUUUCCUCCAAGGUGCGGACUCGAGACAUGGGAGGCUACAGCACCACAACCGACUUCAUCAAGUCUGUCAUCGGCCACCUGCACCCCCAUGGGGGCUAGAGCCCUUUUUCCCCUCCAACCUCACAAGGACCAUGUUAC